GGGGAUGACAGGAUUUGACUGAAAGAUCUUGAUUAUGGAAGCAAGUCGAAGUGCUAGAUCUUCGUACCAAAUUAGCAAAAAACAAAUGCUGAAAACAAAACAGCUAACAGCGAUGCUUACGCGGAAGUUUAUUCUCCCGCAUAUGUAUACGCCUGAAUCGGCACUUUUGUGCUGAGUUCAUAUCCAUAAGCGUUUAUUCGGAAAGGCUUAUUCGGGUAGAAUAAAACCGGAAUGAGGCUGUACUGCCGCGGUUGAGCAGUAUUGCCAAGCGCAUUAAGCGCAAAAGCCGUUAGGCCAAACCUAUAACAGGGCUUAAAGGUAUGCCGGAUACUUUCCUGCCGAAAAUACUAUUCGGAUAAACUUGUAAACUUUUAUAGUUAAGCUUUCAACACAGGGGUUCGAUUCCCCUCAUCUCCACCA
rnacentral:tmRNA from 4 species